AGCAGUAGCCGCGGUAAGACAGAGGAUGCAAGCGUUAUCCGGAAUGAUUGGGCGUAAAGCGUCUGUAGGUGGCUUUUCAAGUCCGCCGUCAAAUCCCAGGGCUCGACCCUGGACAGGCGGUGGAAACUACCAAGCUAGAGUACGGUAGGGGCAGAGGGAAUUUCCGGUGGAGCGGUGAAAUGCGUUGAGAUCGAAAAGAACACCAACGACGAAAGCACUCUGCUGGGUCGACACUGACACUGAGAGACGAAAGCUAGGGGAGCAAAUGGGAUUAGAUACCCCUGUAGUCCCUGUCUCUUAUAC
rnacentral:rRNA from 1 species